GUGGGGAAUAUUGGACAAUGGGGGGAACCCUGAUCCAGCCAUGCCGCGUGUGUGAAGAAGGCCUUUUGGUUGUAAAGCACUUUAAGCGAGGAGGAGGCUACCGAGAUUAAUACUCUUGGAUAGUGGACGUUACUCGCAGAAUAAGCACCGGCUAACUCUGUGCCAGCAGCCGCGGUAAUACAGAGGGUGCAAGCGUUAAUCGGAUUUACUGGGCGUAAAGCGCGCGUAGGUGGCCAAUUAAGUCAAAUGUGAAAUCCCCGAGCUUAACUUGUGAAUUGCAUUCGAUACUGGUUGGCUAGAGUAUGGGAGAGGAUGGUAGAAUUCCAGUUGUAGCGGUGAAAUGCGUAGAGAUCUGGAGGAAUACCGAUGGCGAAGGCAGCCAUCUGGCCUAAUACUGACACUGAGGUGCGAAAGCAUGGGGAGCAAACAGGAUUAGAAACCCUGGUAGUCC
rnacentral:rRNA from 1 species